rnacentral:snRNA from 1 species
UAGGCUGGCAAUGGAGGAGGGGGGACAAGCGCGUCGCUGGGUUCUGGACAAGGACGACGUGAAAAG